ensembl:lncRNA
UGAAUCACUUUUGAAGAAUGCUGCUGCAACAUGUUUCGGGAAAAUAGCCUUUCUUUCCAGACCUGGGUGUUAAAGCAUUACAGAGUUAUCAUGAGUUAUGGGGACCUUUGACUGGACAUGAGGUAGAGGGACUGUUGUGUGGUCAGCGUGAUUUCUACAGUCCCAGUGACACGGGCUGUACACUUUUAUCACAAGCCAUUAACAAAUCAUGAUUUCUGGCUCCGGCUUCCUUACCUGGAAAGCAGAGCUCCAAAUAAUUCCCUGAUCAGAUGGCAUGUGAGCUGUGGUUAUCAUGGAUCCAACAUCAUGAAUGAGCUUCAAAAGGGACAGUCUCACCAGCAAGAAUGAAAGCGAGGCAGAAACAAUCCGCACACCCAGCAGCUGACCAAGGGACAAGAGGUGUGGCCGGUCUGUGUGGUGGAAUUACUGUUCUGCUGUGAAA